GACGAACGCUGGCGGCGUGCCUAAUACAUGCAAGUCGAGCGGACUGAUUAAGAGCUUGCUCUUAUGACGUUAGCGGCGGACGGGUGAGUAACACGUGGGCAACCUGCCCUGUAGAUCGGGAUAACACCGAGAAAUCGGUGCUAAUACCGGGUAAUAUCUGAGAUCACAUGAUCUUAGGUUAAAAGAUGGCUCCGGCUAUCACUACAGGAUGGGCCCGCGGCGCAUUAGCUAGUUGGUAAGGUAAUGGCUUACCAAGGCGACGAUGCGUAGCCGACCUGAGAGGGUGAUCGGCCACACUGGGACUGAGACACGGCCCAGACUCCUACGGGAGGCAGCAGUAGGGAAUCUUCCGCAAUGAACGAAAGUCUGACGGAGCAACGCCGCGUGAGUGAUGAAGGGGUUCGGCUCGUAAAGCUCUGUUGUUAGGGAAGAAACAGUACCGAACGAACUAGGUCGGUACCUUGACGGUACCUAACCAGAAAGCCACGGCUAACUACGUG
rnacentral:rRNA from 1 species